CAGAGGCCUCAAGCGUUAUCCGGAAUCAUUGGGCGUAAAGCGUACCGACAGGUGGUUUGGUUAGUCUUGGGUGAAAUCCCGAAGCUCAACUCGGGUUUGCUUAAGAUACUGCCAGACUAGAGGGGCAAAGAGGAGAUUGGAACGAACGGUGUAGUAGUGAAAUGCGUUGAUAUCGUUCGGAACACCGAAAGCGAAGGCAGAUCUCUGGGUGCCUCCUGACACUGCUAGGACGAGAGCGUGGGUAGCGAAUGGGAUUAGAUACCCCAGUAGUCCACGCUGUAAACGAUGAAUACUAGGCAUGCGCGAGUAUCGACCCUCGUGCGAGCCGUAGCUAACGCGUUAAGUAUUCCGCCAGGGGAGUACGGUCGCAAGACUA
rnacentral:rRNA from 1 species